GUGCUCGCCUUGGCAGCACACAUACUAAAGUUGAAAAUGAUUCGCAUGGCUCUUGCUCAAGGAUGACACGCAAAUUUGUGAAGCAUUCCAUAAUUUG
ensembl:snRNA U6 U6 spliceosomal RNA